AAAGUACGGAUACUGGAGUCGCCAGAGGUUUUAACCUCCGAAAAUUGUAAUAGUGAAUGGAUUUUUGUUUUUGAGGUGUCAUUUUCUUUUUUACUCUUUAACUUUCAAAGUUUACCAAAAAUU